rnacentral:tRNA from 4 species
UGGGCUAUCGCCAAGCGGUAAGGCACAGCACUUUGACUGCUGCAGUCGCUGGUUCGAAUCCAGCUAGCCCAG